GCAGCGGGGGCUUCGGCCUGCCGGCGAGUGGCGGACGGGUGAGUAAUGCAUAGGAACCUGCCUGUUAGUGGGGGACAACUUAGGGAAACUUAAGCUAAUACCGCAUACGCCCUACGGGGGAAAGCUAGGGAUCGCAAGACCUGGCGUUAAUGGAGCGGCCGAUAUCUGAUUAGCUAGUUGGUGGGGUAAAGGCUCACCAAGGCGACGAUCAGUAGCUGGUCUGAGAGGACGACCAGCCACACUGGAACUGAGACACGGUCCAGACUCCUACGGGAGGCAGCAGUGGGGAAUUUUGGACAAUGGGCGCAAGCCUGAUCCAGCCAUUCCGCGUGAGUGAAGAAGGCCUUCGGGUUGUAAAGCUCUUCCGCAAGGGAAGAAAACUUAUCCUCUAACAUAGGAUGAGGUUGACGGUACCUUGAUAAGAAGCACCGGCUAACUACGUGCCAGCAGCCGCGGUAAUACGUAGGGUGCGAGCGUUAAUCGGAAUUACUGGGCGUAAAGCGUGCGCAGGCGGUUUUGAAAGUCAGAUGUGAAAUCCCCGAGCUCAACUUGGGAACUGCGUUUGAAACUCCAAAACUCGAAUAUGUCAGAGGGGGGUAGAAUUCCACGUGUAGCAGUGAAAUGCGUAGAGAUGUGGAGGAAUACCAAUGGCGAAGGCAGCCCCCUGGAUAAUAUUGACGCUCAUGCACGAAAGCGUGGGGAGCAAACAGGAUUAGAUACCCUGGUAGUCCACGCCCUAAACGAUGUCUACUAGUUGUUGGUGGAGUAAGAUCCAUGAGUAACGCAGCUAACGCGUGAAGU
rnacentral:rRNA from 1 species